UCACAAUUUCCUCCCCCUUUCUCUCCCUUCAUGUAAUUUAUACACUUCAGAAAGUAUUCAACUAGUUCCAUACUCCAUUCCAGUCGGUGGCGGUAAUGCACCUAUAAGUCUGGUUGCCAACCGCCAGUAAAACCCAAAGAAGAAGAAGAAGAAGUAUCACCGCGUUUACUUCCGCGUUUUGUCUAAGGCCGCGGUCCAGCUUCCGGUCUGGGUGAUUUUAAGCGGAGGUAAGCAGUAUUAUGGCAGAGUCGUCAAUAUUUACUCGCUGUUUGCGAGUAAAUUAUGGUCAACGAUGUGCAAAUGAUUGUCCGGAUGUGCUCUACAACACCGCAGAGCAAAGCUUGAGAAAGGUUUCAAGUUUUAUGCAUCUUCCUACCUGUGCAAUUAUGAAGGUAACAUUAUGAGAUUCAGAGCUAGAAAAUUUUAUGUGUUACUUCAUCCUGGAGCGGACAUCAGUCAGAAGAUCCAUGCCAUCGCCUGCUAGUUUAUAGCUCCUGCUCUUGUGUGGCUGAGAGUGGGAUAUGCAAACAUUUGGUUGCUUUGCUUUUCCAGACAGCCCAUUACUCUGAAAUGUGUAAUGUGUGUUAUCACAUGAACAAUUGUUUGGAAUGGAUCAAUUAUGUGUUAAGUUCCAUGAAACAGAGGGGUGAUUUUAUUUAUUUAUUUAAUACGUAUAAGCCCAAAUACCUCUCUAUGCACAAGUUACAGAAGAAGCACCUAAUUCAAGAAAACAACUGAUUCAAUGUCAUUGUUUCUGUUCAUCUGAAUAAAAUAUUUUUUUCAAAAUGUUA